GAUGAACGCUGGCGGCGUGCCUAAUACAUGCAAGUCGAGCGAACGGACGAGAAGCUUGCUUCUCUGAUGUUAGCGGCGGACGGGUGAGUAACACGUGGAUAACCUACCUAUAAGACUGGGAUAACUUCGGGAAACCGUAGCUAAUACCGGAUAAUAUUUUGAACCGCAUGGUUCAAAAGUGAAAGACGGUCUUGCUGUCACUUAUAGAUGGAUCCGCGCUGCAUUAGCUAGUUGGUAAGGUAACGGCUUACCAAGGCAACGAUGCAUAGCCGACCUGAGAGGGUGAUCGGCCACACUGGAACUGAGACACGGUCCAGACUCCUACGGGAGGCAGCAGUAGGGAAUCUUCCGCAAUGGGCGAAAGCCCGACGGAGCAACGCCGCGUGAGUGAUGAAGGUCUUCGGAUCGUAAAACUCUGUUAUUAGGGAAGAACAUAUGUGUAAGUAACUGUGCACAUCCUGACGGUACCUAAUCAGAAAGCCACGGCUAACUACGUG
rnacentral:rRNA from 1 species